rnacentral:piRNA from 1 species
UCCGUGAUGGUUUCGGUGCUGCUC